AGGAGAAGACAGUUUCUGUACUGAAUGGCAGGUUUUGUUCUUUUUUCUAAAUACAGCUAAUUGUUAGCGUUUGUUGUUUUGGUCACAUUCAUUUGUGCACUAUAUCAGCAACCAGUCUAUACAUGUUGUACAUUUUUACACCGUGAAAAAAGAUUGUAUUUGACCAAAAUUCCCUUAUCGUCAGCAAGCUAGCUAUCUGAGUAAUGUGUGUUAUAGUGUCAAAAUAGAAGAAUAAAGAAAUACGUAUGAAUGAACUUGGCGUCGUCCAUGUUUCGUGUCCUUUCCGACAACAAAGCAUGUGAACACGGCAUACUCGUAAUUCCCACUUCAAAACUGGGAAGUACUAGAAUUCCGAUAGCACAUGAAGGCAGCAUAAAUACAGUAUUAGCACAGCUGGCAUACAUCGCUCCUUUUCUGUUCUGUAUUUAUCUAAGUCGUCACAGCCACUUGGGGAGAGCUUUUGAAGAAAAUAUUACCAUUGAAUGUAGUAUUCGUUUAUUAAUAACUGGCAACCAGAACAUUACGUCACAUAGGCAAUGAAGUAGCCAAGGCAUAGUUUUCGUUUCGUUAUUACCCUCUUUGGAUGAAAACAGGGCAGUGUGGGCACUGUUUCCUGGCAGUGAAGUGAUCGGCUUUUAUUUUGAAAACUUCUGACUAUUGACGUGAAUUCCAGCUCUUUCCAGAGAGUUAGAUCAGAUCAAUUCACUCACCAGUAAAUAAUAAUGUGGGUGACUGUUGAUGUGAAUUCCGGCUUUUUUCCCAGGUCAGAAUCUAUAAACUAAACUGAAAGCUAUAUACCGGAAGUUCUGCUAUAUCGUUAAGACACGAGACUGUAAAGACUUUGAGAUGACUUCUGAGCUGUCAAAACUGAGAAGAAUUGUUCAAUCAGCAUGGAAGCCAGUUUGCCCAGAUCUUCCUCUUACUGUUGUUGAGGAAAUUCUUCUAAACCUACCUGGCAAGCAAGUGAUUUGUGUGUGCCGCCUGGUGUGUAAUGCGUGGAAGCACA